AGAGAGAGAGAGAGAGAGAGAGAGUUUUAUGAACGAAGGCCACAGAAAAGGGGUGUGUGGAAUGAAGUUUGAUCCAAGAUAAAAUAUACUUGCUUUUCAAUUUUUUACAUUUGGUAAAUCAUAUUUGUCUGGUGGGGGGAGAGAGGGAGAGUGUGUAUAAAGAGCACUUAAGUGCUUGCAGCCUUCUUGAGACACAGAGAGAGUUUCCGAAGGAGGAAAGGUAGGUGUUUGGAAUGAAGUUUGAUCCGAAAUCAUUUUCCCUCCAUUGAAUAAUUAAUAUAUACUAGAUGCAAGAGAGAUCAGUAUGAACACUUGAGAACUUGCAGCUUUCUUGGUCUGAUUGUUGAAUGAGGAGAGAGAGAGAGAGAGAGAGAGAGAGAGAGAGAGUUGUUGAAGAAGGAAAUUCUAAUUUAUUUUGGAAAGCCCUUUUCAUAUUUGAUAUACCAAUUAAUUUCAUGUUCAUGGGCUGAUCUCGGACCAGGCUUCAUUCCUCACACCAAGCUUUUCCUCGUAGAAUAUGUAAGAAGAAGCUCAAGGAAUAACACAUCCCUAAUAUAUAUGUCAUGAAACAUUGGUACCACAAUGCUCAUGCUUCUUAACGAGAAAGGACAAAAGGAGUUGGUAAUUGCGGCUCAAGUUACACAGGGAGGCAGGUACUAUAUAUAUUGGAGGGUCACGUACUGCUCAUAUUUCUUAUAACCAGUACCGUGAGGGAUAACAAGGAUAUCGAAAGAAGGGGACUUUCGGAGGAAGAAGGUGGCGAAGAGUCAAAUGAAGAAGUUUAGGAUAUAUUUUCCUAUAAGGCUACAGUUGUGCCAUGAUCAGAUGCACGAUCUGCUCCUUCAUUUGCUGUUACUUAAAUUGCUAUUCAGCUUCCAUCUGUGAUUGCACUAUCUCUUAUUGGAUUAGAUUUCUUUCUCCAAUUGUCUCCUAGCUAGAAUCCAUCUCCUGGCCUCCAUCUUGCUCUCAGCCUCCUUGUAUUUCUGUAUUGCCACUCCAACUUGGGCUGAGCUCGCUCACUUUGGUGGAUGAUGAUGUAAAUAAGGAUGUGGUAGACUUCACACAAUGUUAAUAACCGCUAGACAAGGAUCCUCUCUGUCUAACAUGAAA